CCUAACGGGAGGCAGCAGUGGGGAAUAUUGGACAAUGGGGGAAACCCUGAUCCAGCGACGCCGCGUGGGUGAAGAAGUAUUUCGGUACGUAAAGCUCUAUCAGCAGGAAAGAAAAUGACGGUACCUGACUAGAAGCCCCGGCUAACUACGUGCCAGCAGCCGCGGUAAUACGUAGGGGGCAAGCGUUAUCCGGAUUUACUGGGUGUAAAGGGGGCGUAGACGGCAUCGGAAGUCUGGAGUGAAAUGCCGUGGCCCAACCCCGGAACUGCUCUGGAAACUGUGAAGCUGGAGUGUAGGAGAGGUAAGCGGAAUUCCUGGUGUAGCGGUGAAAUGCGUAGAUAUCAGGAGGAACACCGGCGGCGAAGGCGGCUUACUGGACUGUAACUGACGUUGAGGCUCGAAGGCGUGGGGAGCAAACAGGAUUAGAUACCCCGGUAGUC
rnacentral:rRNA from 1 species